rnacentral:misc_RNA from 1 species
GAGAGUACUGGGCUCUGCCUAGCUACUUUUACCCAUGUUUUUUACGUACCCAAAGUUUCCUCGGCGGCUCCGCCCGCCGGUUGGACAACCAUAAACCCUUUGUAGUUGCAGUCAGCGUCUGAAAAAACAUAAUAAUUACAACUUUCAACAACGGAUCUCUUGGUUCU